rnacentral:rRNA from 1 species
CCAAUUGCGGCAUGCCUAUACAUGCAAGUCGAACGAGCUUCCGUUGAAUGACGUGCUUGCACUGAUUUCAACAAUGAAGCGAGUGGCGAACUGGUGAGUAACACGUGGGAAAUCUGCCCAGAAGCAGGGGAUAACACUUGGAAACAGGUGCUAAUACCGUAUAACAACAAAAUCCGCAUGGAUUUUGUUUGAAAGGUGGCUUCGGCUAUCACUUCUGGAUGAUCCCGCGGCGUAUUAGUUAGUUGGUGAGGUAAAGGCCCACCAAGACGAUGAUACGUAGCCGACCUGAGAGGGUAAUCGGCCACAUUGGGACUGAGACACGGCCCAAACUCCUACGGGAGGCAGCAGUAGGGAAUCUUCCACAAUGGACGAAAGUCUGAUGGAGCAAUGCCGCGUGAGUGAAGAAGGGUUUCGGCUCGUAAAACUCUGUUGUUAAAGAAGAACACCUUUGAGAGUAACUGUUCAAGGGUUGACGGUAUUUAACCAGAAAGCCACGGCUAACUACGUGCCAGCAGCCGCGGUAAUACGUAGGUGGCAAGCGUUGUCCGGAUUUAUUGGGCGUAAAGCGAGCGCAGGCGGUUUUUUAAGUCUGAUGUGAAAGCCUUCGGCUUAACCGGAGAAGUGCAUCGGAAACUGGGAGACUUGAGUGCAGAAGAGGACAGUGGAACUCCAUGUGUAGCGGUGGAAUGCGUAGAUAUAUGGAAGAACACCAGUGGCGAAGGCGGCUGUCUAGUCUGUAACUGACGCUGAGGCUCGAAAGCAUGGGUAGCGAACAGGAUUAGAUACCCUGGUAGUCCAUGCCGUAAACGAUGAGUGCUAAGUGUUGGAGGGUUUCCGCCCUUCAGUGCUGCAGCUAACGCAUUAAGCACUCCGCCUGGGGAGUACGACCGCAAGGUUGAAACUCAAAGGAAUUGACGGGGGCCCGCACAAGCGGUGGAGCAUGUGGUUUAAUUCGAAGCUACGCGAAGAACCUUACCAGGUCUUGACAUCUUCUGCCAA